rnacentral:lncRNA from 1 species
CUAACAGACAUGUUACCAACACUUUGCCAACCAUUUUAUUACCAAAUUCCCAGCACUUUACCAAUAGAAUUUUAAUUAUUUCCAGUAUAAACACCACAAAUAUAAUGUUUCCAAGGACCGUACAUUAUAAGAUAUUUAAAGAAUAUAAAGAAAUAGCAAGAACAAAUGUAUAAUAAUCUCCAGAUUGAGCGGAAACACGUCCAGAUUGCAGAUGAUGCUAAGAUUGAGCUUGUAUUUGACGUCCACAUUGAGCAGGUAACCAAUGUCCGGAUUGAGCUAGUAACCGUUGUCCAGACUGAACAGGUAGCCUCUGUACAGAUUGACCUGAUAUAUUUUCAGCAUUAUUCCUCAACUUCUCUUGUCUGAAAUAUAAAAGAUAAUGGAUUAUCGGGCAAGAUAAUUGCAAACGAAAUUAUGUUAGUACAUUUAGUAAAAGAAGUGCUAACAGACAUGUUACCAACACUUUGCCAACCAUUUUAUUACCAAAUUCCCAGCACUUUACCAAUAGAAUUUUAAUUAUUUCCAGUAUAAACACCACAAAUAUAAUGUUUCCAAGGACCGUACAUUAUAAGAUAUUUAAAGAAUAUAAAGAAAUAGCAAGAACAAAUGUAUAAUAAUCUCCAGAUUGAGCGGAAACACGUCCAGAUUGCAGAUGAUGCUAAGAUUGAGCUUGUAUUUGACGUCCACAUUGAGCAGGUAACCAAUGUCCGGAUUGAGCUAGUAACCGUUGUCCAGACUGAACAGGUAGCCUCUGUACAGAUUGACCUGAUAUAUUUUCAGCAUUAUUCCUCAACUUCUCUUGUCUGAAAUAUAAAAGAUAAUGGAUUAUCGGGCAAGAUAACACUAAAAAUCAAAUAAAACCAUAAUGCAAGGUGUUCAAUGCCAUUUUAAUGCAGUUGUCUGCCAUGGAUAAAAAUGCAAAGCAUAAUAUAGUGUUUAUUUGAAAAUGCAUGGCUACAUGAUAUCUGAAAAUAGACUUAUCAUUCUUGUCUCAACCUUCUGACUUAAAACUAAUAUUCACUUAUGCAAAUAGUUACAUUUCAACAGAUUCAAAAUCAUAAAAAAAAAAAAAAAACNAAUAGUUACAUUUCAACAGAUUCAAAAUCAUAAAAAAAAAAAAAAAACAUUCAUCUCUUACUGCCAAUGUCCUAAUAGUACAGAGCUCUUAAAAAAAUGCAAUACUGCCAAGAUUUAAGGACUGAAAAUAGUCUACAUUUAAAGUCCUCUGUCACAGAAAUUAAGAUUAUAAUGAAAAUAUAGUCAACUUAAAUGACUUACU